rnacentral:rRNA from 1 species
UAAUACGUAGGGGGCGAGCGUUGUCCGGAUUUAUUGGGCGUAAAGCGCAUGCAGGCGGUUCGUUAAGUCCGUUGUGAAAGCUCCCGGCUCAACUGGGAGAGGUCUUCGGAUACUGGCGAACUCGAGGGAGGCAGAGGAAGGUGGAAUUCCGGGUGUAGUGGUGAAAUGCGUAGAGAUCCGGAGGAACACCAGUGGCGAAGGCGGCCUUCUGGGCCUUUCCUGACGCUGAGACGCGAAAGCGUGGGGAGCGAACCGGAUUAGAUACCCGGGUAGUCCACGCCGUAAACGAUGCUCACUAGAUGUGGGGGGUAUCGACCCCCUCCGCGUCGAAGCUAACGCAUUAAGUGAGCCGCCUGGGGAGUACGGCCGCAAGGCU